UGGGGAAUCUUCCGCAAUGGACGAAAGUCUGACGGAGCAACGCCGCGUGUAUGAUGAAGGUCUUCGGAUUGUAAAGUACUGUCAUUGGGGAAGAACGGUUUUCUUGAAAAGAUUGAGAAGACAUGACGGUACCCAAGGAGGAAGCCCCGGCUAACUACGUGCCAGCAGCCGCGGUAAUACGUAGGGGGCAAGCGUUGUCCGGAAUUAUUGGGCGUAAAGGGCGCGUAGGCGGGCUUUUAAGUCCGGUGUGAAAGAUCAGGGCUCAACCCUGAGAGUGCAUCGGAAACUGGAGGCCUUGAGGACAGGGAGAGGAAAGUGGAAUUCCACGUGUAGCGGUGAAAUGCGUAGAUAUGUGGAGGAACACCAGUGGCGAAGGCGACUUUCUGGACUGUAACUGACGCUGAGGCGCGAAAGCGUGGGGAGCAAACAGGAUUAGAUACCCUGGUAGUCCACGCCGUAAACGAUGAGUGCUAGGUGUAGAGGGUAUCGACCCCUUCUGUGCCGCAGUUAACACAAUAAGCACUCCCGCCUGGGGAGUACGGCCGCAAGGUUGAAACUUAAAUGAAUUGAC
rnacentral:rRNA from 1 species